CAGUCGCCGCGGUAAUACGUAGGGUGCAAGCGUUAAUCGGAAUUACUGGGCGUAAAGCGUGCGUAGGUGGUGGUUUAAGUCCGUUGUGAAAGCCCUGGGCUCAACCUGGGAAUUGCAGUGGAUACUGGGUCACUAGAGUGUGGUAGAGGAUAGUGGAAUUUCCGGUGUAGCAGUGAAAUGCGUAGAGAUCGGAAGGAACAUCUGUGGCGAAGGCGACUAUCUGGGCCAACACUGACACUGAGGCACGAAAGCGUGGGGAGCAAACAGGAUUAGAUACCCCCGUAGUCCCUGUCUCUUAUAU
rnacentral:rRNA from 1 species